rnacentral:rRNA from 1 species
GACCUGGCUCAGGAUGAACGCUAGCGACAGGCUUAACACAUGCAAGUCGAGGGGCAGCAUAAUUUGUAGCAAUACAGAUUGAUGGCGACCGGCGCACGGGUGAGUAACGCGUAUGCAACUUACCUAUCAGAGGGGGAUAGCCCGGCGAAAGUCGGAUUAAUACCCCAUAAAACAGGGGUCCCGCAUGGGAAUAUUUGUUAAAGAUUCAUCGCUGAUAGAUAGGCAUGCGUUCCAUUAGG